rnacentral:rRNA from 1 species
GUGCCAGCUGCCGCGGUAAUACCGGCAGCUCAAGUGAUGUCCCAUAUUAUUGGGCCUAAAGCGUCCGUAGCUGGCCGACCAAGUCUAUCGGGAAAUCCACCUGCCCAACAGGUGGGCGUCCGGUAGAAACUGGCCGGCUUGGAACCGGAAGGCUCAGAGAGUACGUCCGGGGUAGGAGUGAAAUCCCGUAAUCCCGGACGGACUACCGAUGGCGAAAGCACUCUGAGAAAACGGAUCCGACAGUGAGGGACGAAAGCCAGGGUCUCCAACCGGAUUAGAAACCCUAGUAGUCC